rnacentral:rRNA from 1 species
AGCAGCCGCGGUAAUUCCAGCUCCAAUAGCGUAUAUUAAAGUUGUUGCAGUUAAAAAGCUCGUAGUUGAAUUUCGGGGUUAGUAGGUUGGUCAUGCCUCUGGUAUGUACUGGUCUCACUGAUUCCUCCUUCCUGAUGAACCUUAAUGCCAUUUAUUUGGUGUUUUGGGGAAUUUGGACUGUUACUUUGAAAAAAUUAGAGUGUUUAAAGCAAGCUAACGCUUGAAUACAUUAGCAUGGAAUAAUGAAAUAGGACGUUCGAUCCUAUUUUGUUGGUUUCUAGGAUUGACGUAAUGAUUAAUAGGGAUAGUUGGGGGCAUUAGUAUUCAAUUGUCAGAGGUGAAAUUCUUGGAUUUAUUGAAGACUAACUACUGCGAAAGCAUUUGCCAAGGAUGU